rnacentral:rRNA from 1 species
AACGAACGCUGGCGGCAGGCUUAACACAUGCAAGUCGAGCGCCUCGCAAGGGGAGCGGCAGACGGGUGAGUAACGCGUGGGAACCUACCCUUUCCUACGGAAUAACACAGAGAAAUUUGUGCUAAUACCGUAUACGCCCUUCGGGGGAAAGAUUUAUCGGGGAAGGAUGGGGCCGCGUCGGAUUAGCUAGUUGGUGGGGUAAUGGCCUAACAAGGCGACGAUCCGUAGCUGGUCUGAGAGGAUGACCAGCCACAUUGGGACUGAGACACGGCCCAAACUCCUACGGGAGGGAGCAGUGGAGAAUAUUGGGCAAUGGGCGCAAGCCUGAUCCAGCCAUGCCGCGUGGGUGAUGAAGGGCUUAGGGUUGGAAAGUCCUUUCACCCACGACGAUAAUGACGGUAGGUGGAGAAGAAGCCCUGGCUAACUUCGUGCCAGCAGCCGCAGUAAAAC